rnacentral:rRNA from 1 species
GAUGAACGCUGGCGGCGUGCCUAAUACAUGCAAGUCGAGCGAACAGACGAGGAGCUUGCUCCUCUGACGUUAGCGGCGGACGGGUGAGUAACACGUGGAUAACCUACCUAUAAGACUGGGAUAACUUCGGGAAACCGGAGCUAAUACCGGAUAAUAUAUUGAACCGCAUGGUUCAAUAGUGAAAGACGGUUUUGCCGUCACUUAUAGAUGGAUCCGCGCCGCAUUAGCUAGUUGGUAAGGUAACGGCUUACCAAGGCAACGAUGCGUAGCCGACCUGAGAGGGCGAUCGGCCACACUGGAACUGAGACACGGUCCAGACUCCUACGGGAGGCAGCAGUAGGGAAUCUUCCGCAAUGGGCGAAAGCUUGACGGAGCAACGCCGCGUGAGUGAUGAAGGUCUUCGGAUCGUAAAACUCUGUUAUUAGGGAAGAACAAAUGUGUAAGUAACUAUGCACGUCUUGACGGUACCUAAUCAGAAAGCCACGGCUAACUACGUG